AAAGACGGUCGCUCAACGAUUGCAGUGCCAUUGAAACUAGUAGACUUGAGUAAAGUAGAGGUGGGCGGAAUUGAUAGUGUAGCGGUGAAAUGCAUAGAUAUUAUCAAGAACUCCAAUUGCGUAGGCAGCUCACUUGGCUUUUACUGACACUCAUGCACGAAAGUGUGGGUAUCAAACAGGAUUAGAUACCCUGGCAGUCCACACUGUAUACGAUGAUAACUAGGUGUCGGCCGAAUCU
rnacentral:rRNA from 1 species